UGACCGCUGGCGGCGUGCCUACUACAUGCAAGUCGAGCGAACGGACGAGGAGCUUGCUCCUCUGACGUUAGCGGCGGACGGGUGAGUAACACGUGGAUAACCUACCUAUAAGACUGGGAUAACUUCGGGAAACCGGAGCUAAUACCGGAUAAUAUAUUGAACCGCAUGGUUCAAUAGUGAAAGACGGUUUUGCUGUCACUUAUAGAUGGAUCCGCGCCGCAUUAGCUAGUUGGUAAGGUAACGGCUUACCAAGGCAACGAUGCGUAGCCGACCUGAGAGGGUGAUCGGCCACACUGGAACUGAGACACGGUCCAGACUCCUACGGGAGGCAGCAGUAGGGAAUCUUCCGCAAUGGGCGAAAGCCUGACGGAGCAACGCCGCGUGAGUGAUGAAGGUCUUCGGAUCGUAAAACUCUGUUAUUAGGGAAGAACAAAUGUGUAAGUAACUAUGCACGUCUUGACGGUACCUAAUCAGAAAGCCACGGCUAACUACGUG
rnacentral:rRNA from 1 species